rnacentral:tRNA from 1 species
GGUUCCAUAGCUCAGUGGUAGAGAGUUUGCACCAGAAUUGCAAAGGUCAUGGGUUUGAAUCCCGUUGGAGCCU